rnacentral:rRNA from 1 species
UACAGAGGGUGCGAGCGUUAAUCGGAAUUACUGGGCGUAAAGCGUGCGUAGACGGUCAUGUAAGUCGGGUGUGAAAGCCCCGGCUCAACCUGGGAAUUGCAUUUGAGACUGUGUAGCUAGGGUGCGGAAGAGGGAAGCGGAAUUUCAGGUGUAGCGGUGAAAUGCGUAGAUAUCUGAAGGAACACCAGUGGCGGAAAGCGGACUUCCUGGUC